rnacentral:rRNA from 1 species
AAGAUACCGCUUAAGAAUAAAAUCUUUGUGUGGUAUCUUCGUCGAAGAGUUAUUCUUACCAAAGAUAAUCUUAUUAAGAGGAAUUGGCAUAGAAGUACGCAAUGUGUGUUUUGUCAUCACGAUGAGACAAUAAAACACUUGUUUUUCCAAUGCAAAUCGGCCCCUUCUAUACGGUCAACCAUCCAAGUAGCUUCUGGCUUGUAUCCUCAAUGUAGUGUUGCUAAUUUUUUUGGCAACUGGUUACAUGGGAUAGAUUACAUGCUUAGAAUUCUUCUCAGGGUAGGAGCGCUAUAA